CCGUACCCAAUGCCAACGCGACACAGGGUCCGCCACCACCACAACGAUCAGCCCACAUGAAACAGAAUCCGCCGCACUGGAUCCACCACCGCGACCCCCGAUUCGCGAAGACAUAUCUGCAUUGAUGUCCAACAUUAGACACAGCUGGAAACCAACCAGACUGAACACUGAGUCAUUACUUCAACACUGACUCCAGUGCACAGUGUAAUCCAAAAGACCGUUUGGACCAGGACCGCGGCGGCGGCUCGUGGUGGGUGGGGGUGGACGGUGACUGAGGACUGGAGUGGCGUUCUGGCCUGGAUGGU